UCUCACUCUUUUCUCUUUGGCCUGCCAUAACUCACUUUGCUCUCUUUAUCUUUUCUUUUCUCACAAACACAACACUCCUUUCACUCCCUCACACUCUCCCACUAGUACCUACUCCACACCACCAUCUCUACCAUCAUUUGUUCGACAAGAUCACCGAAAAAACUUCUUAGGAACCUUUGCAUCUUCACAUCUUUUAUUUGAGGAGUAAUUACCCAGCCAGAUGCCACAGUCUUUAUGGCACCCCGUCUUCGUGGCAUAUUGAUAUCUUCGUGGCAUAACUGAUGUCUUUAUGGCAUACUUGACAUCUUUAUGACGGCUUGUCUUGUGGCCUUGGGUUGAACUUCUUAGUUUUGGAAUGGUAUUGUUACUGCUCACAGUAUAUAUAGAUACUAUGUAGUUUCAUGGUAAACAUUUUAAUGAUCUUUGUGCUAAACUAUUUAAAUCAUUCUUGUCAUGUUAUUACUGAAAUUGAUUUUUCAGAAAUCGAAUUGGAAUUCCCAAAUUAGUGCAUGUUUAUAAUUUAUUCAUCAUCAUGAAACUUGCAUUUCCCUUACCCUCAUUAAUUAUGCUACUUACUAGACUUUGUCUUAUCCCAUCAUUUUACAAACUUUUUCAGAGUAGACAACAAUCAUUUUGAGUCAAGUUUUUGUGGCUAGCAGUAGUUAGACUAACUACUGAUGAAAGCUAGACUUUUGUUAUGGUGAUCUUUAGAUGAUGUACAUCCUAGAGUAGGGUUGACUCAUUCUUUUGUAUCUAAUAAUGGUUAUGACUUAUAUUCCCACUGAUGGGAUAAGCUGAUGAUAUAUAAUUAUAUUUAUU